UACGUAGGGUGCGAGCGUUAAUCGGAAUUACUGGGCGUAAAGCGUGCGCAGGCGGUUUUGUAAGCCAGAUGUGAAAUCCCCGGGCUCAACCUGGGAAUGGCAUUUGGGACUGCAAGGCUGGAGUGCGGCAGAGGAGACUGGAAUUCCUGGUGUAGCAGUGAAAUGCGUAGAUAUCAGGAGGAAUACCGAUGGCGAAGGCAGGUCUCUGGGCUGACACUGACGCUCAUGCACGAAAGCGUGGGGAG
rnacentral:rRNA from 1 species